GACGAACCGAGCGAACGUUGUUCGGAAUAACUGGGCUUAAAGGGCGCGUAGGCGGGCUGUCAAGUCUGUGGUGAAAUGCCGCGGCUCAACCGUGGAACUGCCUCAGAUACUGACGGCCUCGAGGGAGGUAGGGGCGAGCGGAACUAAUGGUGGAGCGGUGAAAUGCGUUGAUAUCAUUAGGAACUCCGGUGGCGAAGGCGGCUCGCUGGAUCUCUUCUGACGCUGAGGCGCGAAAGCUAGGGGAGCAAACGGG
rnacentral:rRNA from 1 species